UUUGAGUUAGGGAUUGCAGUGAAAAUCCCACAGGACCGCCACAAGCGGGACGAGGAAUUGUAACGUAAAGCCCGACCAUCG
rnacentral:misc_RNA from 1 species